rnacentral:rRNA from 1 species
AGUGAACGCUGGCGGUAGGCCUAACACAUGCAAGUCGAACGGCAGCACAGUAAGAGCUUGCUCUUACGGGUGGCGAGUGGCGGACGGGUGAGGAAUACAUCGGAAUCUACUUUUUCGUGGGGGAUAACGUAGGGAAACUUACGCUAAUACCGCAUACGACCUACGGGUGAAAGCAGGGGAUCUUCGGACCUUGCGCGAUUGAAUGAGCCGAUGUCGGAUUAGCUAGUUGGCGGGGUAAAGGCCCACCUAGGCGACGAUCCGUAGCUGGUCUGAGAGGAUGAUCAGCCACACGGGAACUGAGACACGGUCCAGAGUCCUACGGGAGGCAGCAGUGGGGAAUAUUGGACAAAGGGCGCAAGCCUGAUCCAGCCAUACCGCGUGGGUGAAGAAGGCCUUCGGGUUGUAAAGCCCUUUUGUUGGGAAAGAAAAGCAGCAGGUUAAUACCCCGCUGUUCUGACGGUACCCAAAGAAUAAGCACCGGCUAACUUCGUG